rnacentral:rRNA from 1 species
UACGUAGGGUGCGAGCGUUAAUCGGAAUUACUGGGCGUAAAGCGUGCGCAGGCGGUUUUGCAAGCCGGAUGUGAAAUCCCCGGGCUCAACCUGGGAAUGGCAUUCGGAACUGCAAGGCUGGAGUGCGGCAGAGGAGACUGGAAUUCCUGGUGUAGCAGUGAAAUGCGUAGAUAUCAGGAGGAAUACCGAUGGCGAAGGCAGGUCUCUGGGCUGACACUGACGCUCAUGCACGAAAGCGUGGGGAGCAAACAGG